GGCCCCUAGAGCGGCGGACGGGUGAGUAACACGUGGACAAUCUGCCCCCCGGUCCGGGAUAGCCCAGGGAAACCUGGAUUAAUACCGGAUGAGACGGGACCCGCGGAGGCGGGAUCCGGGAAAGGCGCUGCGGCGCCGCCGGGGGAUGAGUCUGCGUCCCAUUAGCUAGACGGCGGGGUAACGGCCCACCGUGGCGACGAUGGGUAGCCGGCCUGAGAGGGUGGACGGCCACAUUGGAACUGAGACACGGUCCAGACUCCUACGGGAGGCAGCAGCUAAGAAUCUUCCGCAAUGGGCGAAAGCCUGACGGAGCGACGCCGCGUGAACGAAGAAGGCCGUGAGGUUGUAAAGUUCUUUUCGGGAGGGGGAACAACCGUGGCAGGGAAUGGCCGCGGGAUGACGUGAAUCCCGGAAUAAGCCCCGGCUAACUACGUGCCAGCAGCCGCGGUAACACGUAGGGGGCGAGCGUUGUUCGGAAUCAUUGGGCGUAAAGGGCGUGCAGGCGGUCCUGCAAGUCCGGCGUGAAAGACCCCGGCCCAACCGGGGGGACGCGCUGGAAACUG
rnacentral:rRNA from 1 species